UUGAUCCCUGGCUUUAUGGCU
rnacentral:miRNA from 1 species